rnacentral:sRNA from 1 species
GCAGCAAGGAUUUCCUUGUUCUCACUUCUUACUUGUCAAUUAUAAUAAUUGACUACGGUUGUUCUGCUAUCAUUGUGGUUGUGAUGUGCAGGAUACAAUGUCCGUUGCAACGGCCAGGAGGAAACAAUCCACGGCAGAGAUGGAUAACUAACUGAGGAUGUCUCCUAAUUAACGUGUCUGUUAAUGGUGCGGACGAGUCAAUCGCUGGAACGAGCUGUUGGCAGAUGGACGUACUCGGGAGGACGAGCCAGCGGCCAUUUCUCGGUGUCCAUCUUCUUAUUAUUACUAUAGUCCGUCCUACGGAGUCACCAUCAACCCAGAUGAACUAGGUCGUUUCUCCUGCACAUCUGGCCAGCUCGAGCGAGUAGUAUCCGUCGUAUCAGGCAUGAUAUCGGUUGCUUGUUCAAGCCCAAUAUCCCCAGCUCUGUAUCACAAUAGUCGCAUGGUUUGUCACUUGCGAAGCGUACAACUCACAAAGGACAUGGUAGGUAUCCCCAUUUACAUAAUUACCUAGGCAUAUUUAGUAGAUCUAGAAAAGCAUACAACAUAUCUACAGCCCCACCUCAUUGUUUCUCGUUGCACAAUUUAAGCCCAAUGAUACAAGAAAUCGCCGUAGAAUGCAGCCUUGACUCCGCGAUCAGUUGCCCUAUAGAAUUAAUUAAUCUUCAAAGUGGUCAAUAUCGCCAUGAUUAGAAUACACUCCUUCUCCAUGUCUCAACCCAGACAUGGCACUAUGAGGUCUGAUGCCAAGUCAGGCUCAUCCAAGGGCCUUUUUCUCCUCACAAUCCCAGGUUCGCAACCCAUGCCAGCAGCCUCCAGUCGACAGAAAAACGAGGACC